ensembl:processed_transcript
AAUUAGCCAUUUUUGAGGGUGUUUAGGGCCAAAUUAUAAAGGGUCAUAGUAAGAUCACAUAACUUUCACAAGUUUUAAAACUUUUUUUAGUUUUUUGCCUACACAAAUCUCUGAAGAGUUUUAGCUGAACAAUCUCACAGCCUCGUUUCUGCUCAGAAAUUAUUACGGAAUAACGUUAAUUUACAAGGCUAACGGCUAACCGUUAUAGCUAAAAUACAAAAAGGCCUACCUUUUGACCAAUGUCCUUUGGCGUCACCCCACAUAAAAGCUACGGGUUUACCGUGGCGACGUUUGUGGCGUUUGUUGAUUGUGUCGGUCAGCAAUGAGGAGAUUCAUUCUUGUUAAUUCUCUGAGGAAAAGCGCGUUGCUGCUAUGUUCUCCAUCGGCUAUUCCCGCGAUAGUCAUUAACAUCACUGGUCUCCAGUGCGACGCAAACGGCUUAAGUUUGCACCUUCAUCCGGGCUAAUCUCAAAGUUUACUAUAGACGCAGAAACCUGUCCCAGGACUUCCAAGAUUUUCUCAGUAAACCAAUGAUCGAUAUAUGUCAUCGGUGAACCAGAAAACCCUGAUUGCUGGAAAUUAUUUUGUAGCCAGCCAAUUGGAAUGAAACAGACCAUUUUGAAGGCUGAGACUGAACACAUUGUACCUGGGAGCAAAAAG